rnacentral:rRNA from 1 species
GACGAACGCUGGCGGCGUGCCUAAUACAUGCAAGUAGAACGCUGAAGGAGGAGCUUGCUUCUCUGGAUGAGUUGCGAACGGGUGAGUAACGCGUAGGUAACCUGCCUGGUAGCGGGGGAUAACUAUUGGAAACGAUAGCUAAUACCGCAUAACAGUAGAUAUCGCAUGAUAUCUACUUGAAAGGUGCAAUUGCAUCACUACCAGAUGGACCUGCGUUGUAUUAGCUAGUUGGUGAGGUAACGGCUCACCAAGGCGACGAUACGUAGCCGACCUGAGAGGGUGAUCGGCCACACUGGGACUGAGACACGGCCCAGACUCCUACGGGAGGCAGCAGUAGGGAAUCUUCGGCAAUGGACGGAAGUCUGACCGAGCAACGCCACGUGAGUGAAGAAGGUUUUCGGAUCGUAAAGCUCUGUUGUAAGAGAAGAACGAGUGUGAGAGUGGAAAGUUCACACUGUGACGGUAUCUUACCAGAAAGGGACGGCUAACUACGUG